rnacentral:rRNA from 1 species
AUACGGAGGGUGCAAGCGUUGUCCGGAUUUAUUGGGUUUAAAGGGUGCGUAGGCGGCCCGUUAAGUCAGCGGUGAAAGUCUGUGGCUCAACCAUAGAAGCGCCGUUGAUACUGAUGGGCUUGAGUGCCGUAUGGGUACAUGGAAUUGAUGGUGUAGCGGUGAAAUGCAUAGAUACCAUCAGGAACACCGAUAGCGUAGGCAUUGUACUGUGCGGCAACUGACGCUGAGGCACGAAAGCAUGGGUAGCGAACAGGAUUAGAUACCCUGGUAGUCCAUGCCGUAAACGAUGAUUACUCGCUGUUAUGUCCUUGAGGCGUAGCGGCCAAGCGAAAGCGUUAAGUAAUCCACCUGGGGAGUACGCCGGCAACGGUGAA